rnacentral:rRNA from 1 species
ACUCCUACGGGAGGCAGCAGUGGGGAAUAUUGCACAAUGGGCGAAAGCCUGAUGCAGCCAUGCCGCGUGUGUGAAGAAGGCCUUCGGGUUGUAAAGCACUUUCAGCGAGGAGGAAAGGUUGACGGUUAAUACCGUCAGCUGUGACGUUACUCGCAGAAGAAGCACCGGCUAACUCCGUGCCAGCAGCCGCGGUAAGUACGGAGGGUGCGAGCGUUAAUCGGAAUUACUGGGCGUAAAGCGCAUGCAGGCGGCCAAGUCAGUCAGAUGUGAAACGCCCCGGGCUUAACCUGGGAAUUGCAUUUGAAACUGCUUGGCUAGAGUCCUUGAGAGGGGGUUAGAAUUUCGAGGUGUAGCGGUGAAAUGCGUAGAGAUCUGAAGGAAUACCAGUGGCGAAGGCGGCCCCUGGCAAGAGACUGACGCUCAGAUGCGAAAGCGUGGGAGCAAACCAGGAUUAGAUACCCCUGGUAGGAUAGCG